GACGAACGCUGGCGGCGUGCCUAAUACAUGCAAGUAGAACGCACAGUUUAUACCGUAGCUUGCUACACCAUAGACUGUGAGUUGCGAACGGGUGAGUAACGCGUAGGUAACCUGCCUGGUAGCGGGGGAUAACUAUUGGAAACGAUAGCUAAUACCGCAUAAUAUUGAUUAUUGCAUGAUAAUUGAUUGAAAGAUGCUAUCGCAUCACUACCAGAUGGACCUGCGUUGUAUUAGCUAGUAGGUGAGGUAACGGCUCACCUAGGCGACGAUACAUAGCCGACCUGAGAGGGUGAUCGGCCACACUGGGACUGAGGCACGGCCCAGACUCCUACGGGAGGCAGCAGUAGGGAAUCUUCGGCAAUGGACGAAAGUCUGACCGAGCAACGCCGCGUGAGUGAAGAAGGUUUUCGGAUCGUAAAGCUCUGUUGUAAGAGAAGAACGGGUGUGAGAGUGGAAAGUUCACACUGUGACGGUAUCUUACCAGAAAGGGACGGCUAACUACGUGC
rnacentral:rRNA from 1 species